rnacentral:tRNA from 1 species
GGGGGCGUAGCAUAACCCGGCAGUGCGGCUGGCUCCAGACCAGUUGAUCCAGGUUCAAAUCCUGGCGCCCCCA